rnacentral:rRNA from 1 species
UACAGAGGUCUCAAGCGUUGUUCGGAUUCAUUGGGCGUAAAGGGUGCGUAGGCGGCGCGGUAAGUCGGGUGUGAAAUCUCGGGGCUUAACUCCGAAACUGCAUUCGAUACUGCCGUGCUUGAGGACUGGAGAGGAGACUGGAAUUUACGGUGUAGCGGUGAAAUGCGUAGAUAUCGUAAGGAAGACCAGUGGCGAAGGCGGGUCUCUGGCCCGUUCUUGACGCUGAGGCGCGAAAGCUAGGGUAGCAAACGGG